rnacentral:rRNA from 1 species
GGGGCGAGCGUUGUUCGGAAUCACUGGGCUUAAAGCGUGCGUAGGCGGGUAGGGAAGUCAGAAGUGAAAUCCCUGGGCUUAACCCAGGAAUUGCUUUUGAAACUCCCUGUCUAGAAACCGAGAGAGGUUAGCGGAAUAUCCAGUGUAGAGGUGAAAUUCGCAGAUAUUGGAUGGAACACCAGUGGCGAAGGCGGCUAACUGGCUCGGUAUUGACGCUGAGGCACGAAAGCGUGGGUAGCAAACAGGAUUAGAUACCCUGGUAGUCCACGCCGUAAACCAUGUUUGCUAGCUGUUGGUGUCCUUAGGGCAUCGGCGGCGGAGAGAAAUCAUUAAGCAAACCGCCUGGGGAGUACGGCCGCAAGGUUA